UGUGAAAUCUCAAUACACAUGAGCAUUAGG
rnacentral:piRNA from 1 species